rnacentral:rRNA from 1 species
UAAGGAAUAUUGGACAAUGGGCGCAAGUCUGAUCCAGCCAUCCCGCGUGCAGGAUGAAGGCGCUCCGCGUCGUAAACUGCUUUUGCGUAGGAAGAACAGACGGGACUUGUCCUGUUUUGACGGUACUACGAGAAUAAGCACCGGCUAACUCUGUGCCAGCAGCCGCGGUAAUACAGGGGGUGCGAGCGUUAUCCGGAAUUACUGGGUUUAAAGGGUGCGUAGGCUGCCGUGUAAGUUUGGGGUGAAAGGCCAGGGCUUAACCUUGGGACUGCCUUGGAUACUGCACGGCUUGAAUUAGGAUGAGGUUGGCGGAAUGCGGCAUGUAGCGGUGAAAUGCAUAGAUAUGCCGUAGAACACCGAUUGUGAAGACAGCUGACUGGACCUAUAUUGACGCUGAGGCACGAAAGCGUGGGGAGCGAACGGGAUUAGAUACCCCGGUAGUCCACGCCGUAAACGAUGUUAACUCGGUGUUUGGCGCGUAGCGUUGAGCACCCAAGGGAAACCGAUAAGUUAACCACCUGGGGAGUACGUUCGCAAGAAUG